GCUGAGGCACAGCCCAGACCAUCCUGUUUCAGGCUGUCUUGUGCUGCAGCCAGUGAUCCUUGUACUUUCUGCCCUGCCUAAAAUACCCCUGAACAGUACUGCGGAUCCAGAACAAGCCCUCUGGGCAUCCCCAGCCCCCAGUCCCGCAUCCCUUACCCACCCCAGCUUCUGUCCUUCCACGAGUCAGGGGGACCACACAGCAUUUUCUGCCUCUCCUACAGGAGCCAUUCAAGCUUUACAGGCUCAAGCCACCCAAGAAGAACAUGAGGGGUUUUAAUGCUCUUUCUUGAUCAGAGGAAAAGAUGAACAAAAGGGGAUUCUGCAGUGCAAGAGUUAUUUGACAAUGCAAGUCUGAUAUAAUAAAUUAUUCUGCUCAUUUCUAUCUACUCUCCCACCUUUUAGAUGCUUCUGCUUUUGAGGUGUGGAAUCGCAUGUGAAUCACAGCAAUUGAAAAAGCAGCCAAACCUGCAGAUUUCUGCUUCUCCUAGACACCAGACUCCUGGGAAAAUUGGAAGGAAAAACAGAAAAAAGAAAUCACUCUAAAGGACCCACUCAUCAGCCCUGUAUCAUAGGGUUAAAAUUCAGAGAUGAUAAUAAACUUUGCAAACUUUAAAAAAACAGCAACUGAUAUUUGAACAUUGUAGCAAAUAGAUGAUCUCUUGAGUUAUAGAAUUUAGAGGUCAAUCAUUCAAACACAAGUUAUUUUAUUUGACUCACAUAAUUAGUGGCCAUUACUGCCUGUUUAAACUGACUGGUAAAUGUUUAUUUACUUUUGCAUCACAUCCCCAGAGCAGCACAAAACGGUCUCAACACACUGAUGUGUCUAGCAGCAGAAACCACCCACGCUGAAGGGUCUCAUUGCAGCAAGGGCAGAGACACCUCUGCCCUUGGGGUGCCACUAGAAGGACGCUCUGCAUAUGGUCCUUAGUGCAUAACAGCCACCUCUGAAUGUACUUGCCAUUUGUAAACAGAUCUGUCCAAUUUAUCCUGAACUCCCAGUGCCACAGUGUGCUGCUGCCACUGCCCAAGCUGUUCUCUCAGUUCCAGUACGUAUGUGCCUGCUGACAUUGUGGCUCUUGACUCCAUGAACAUGCCUAUGGAAACAGAGAUGCACCAAGCUUCCCUUUUUAAAAUGCUUGCACAAGAUUUGUGCAGUGGAGACUGCUGAUGACAGACAUUUUCUGCCAGUGGAAAGAGCAAACCAUGGAAGCAUGGAUGCAAGUGCAGGAACUGCAGCCUCUCCUGUGCUCUGGGGAGUGCAGUGGCUUCCCUGCUGUCCAUACUAGCUUGCUCAGUGGCUUGCCCACUGACAAUGUGAUUGUGCAGACCCUUGUUUGUGAAGUCAGUUCAAUAGCCUCACGUGAGACUGCUUGCAGAGAGGGUGGAGUUUUCCUGAUACACACAGCUGAACUUUAAGAAUUGAAUGUCAUAUGUCAUUUAGGAAUUGACUUUGGUCAUAUGUCCAGUGGAUGAAAUGGUGUGAAGUCAGCUGCUGCUCCUGGCUGCUGUGAACUUUCUAUGAGGAUGGAAGGACAAGGCAUAGAAAUUGCUUGUUCUUUAUAAACAUGAUUAUUUAUAAUUAAUUGUUUUAAUUUUAUUACCAGUAGAAUGUAAGGUGAAAUAAAUGA